rnacentral:lncRNA from 1 species
GAUUGUCAAACUCUGUUUCUGUUUAAUAGGAGUAUAUGGGCUUCACAGAAUGAGUCUGCACAUUAUCAUCAAAACGUAGAACUCUGCGUCCACCUUCUGUUGUAAGGAGUCCAUGAUGAAUUGGCUCUGAAACCAGUGGAUUAGCAUAUUAGUUGUCAAUCUCUCCUGCUGACGUUCCCAUGUGAAGAUACCUUAUGUGGCCUGGGUGUGUUGCUCAUAGAAUUGUUAGGGUUCUUCUAAGGCUGCUUCAGAGGUAUAAGGUUUCAGGAUUCGAACCCUUUGGAUGGGUAGUAAGGUCACUCACCUGAAUAUAUGGGAAAGAAAGGAACAGAAAUCACUGAUACUCAUGGUAAGUGUUGACUAUUGGAAAAUGAUGUGCUUUGAUUCUUUUUUCAGAAGUUUUGUGAAAA